UACGUAGGGUGCGAGCGUUGUCCGGAAUUAUUGGCGUAAAGGGCUCGUAGGCGGUUUGUCGCGUCGGGAGUGAAAUCCACUGGCUUAACUGGUGGCUUGCUUUCGAUACGGGCAGACUGGAGGUAUGCAGGGGAGAACGGAAUUCCUGGUGUAGCGGUGAAAUGCGCAGAUAUCAGGAGGAACACCGGUGGCGAAGGCGGUUCUCUGGCAUGUCCUGACGCUGAGGAGCGAAAGUGUGGGAGGCGAACAGG
rnacentral:rRNA from 1 species